rnacentral:rRNA from 1 species
UACGUAGGGUGCAAGCGUUGUCCGGAAUUAUUGGGCGUAAAGAGCUCGUAGGCGGUUUGUCGCGUCUGCUGUGAAAUCUGGGGGCUCAACCCCCAGCCUGCAGUGGGUACGGGCAGACUAGAGUGCGGUAGGGGAGAUUGGAAUUCCUGGUGUAGCGGUGGAAUGCGCAGAUAUCAGGAGGAACACCGAUGGCGAAGGCAGCUCGCUGGGACGGUACUGGACGCUGAGACGCGAAAGCGUGGGGAGCGAACAGG